rnacentral:rRNA from 1 species
GAUGAACGCUGGCGGCGUGCCUAACACAUGCAAGUCGAACGAAGCUUGACGGAUGAUUUCUUCGGAAUGAAACCAGAUAUGACUUAGUGGCGGACGGGUGAGUAACACGUGAGCAACCUGCCUUUCAGAGGGGGAUAACGGCUGGAAACGGUCGCUAAUACCGCAUGAUGUGUUCGGAUGGCAUCAUCUGAACAUCAAAGAUUUAUCGCUGAAAGAUGGGCUCGCGUCUGAUUAGAUAGUUGGUGGGGUAACGGCCUACCCAGUCUACGAUCAGUAGCCGGAGUGAGGGGGUGAACGGCCACAUUGGGACUGAGAUACGGCACAGACUCCUACGGGGGGCAGCAGUGGAGAAUAUUGCACAAUGGGGGAAACUCUGAUGCAGCAGCGCCGCGUGGAGGAUGAGGGUUUUCGGAGUGUAAACUUCUUUUCUUAGUGGCGAAGACAGUGACGGUAGCUAAUGAAUAAGCAUCGGCUAACUACGUG